rnacentral:rRNA from 1 species
AGAAUCAACGCUGGCGGCGUGCCUAACACAUGCAAGUCGCACGAGAAAGGGGCUUCGGCCCUGAGUAAAGUGGCGCACGGGUGAGUAACACGUGACUAACCUACCCUUGAGUGGGGGAUAACCUAGGGAAACCUGGGCUAAUACCGCAUAAUACCUUCGGGUCAAAGGAGCAAUUCGCUUAAGGAGGGGGUCGCGGCCGAUUAGUUAGUUGGCGGGGUAAUGGCCCACCAAGACGAUGAUCGGUAUCC